UACAGAGGGGGCGAGCGUUGUUCGGAAUUACUGGGCGUAAAGGGCGCGUAGGCGGCCAACUAAGUCAGACGUGAAAUCCCUCGGCUCCACCGGGGAACUGCGUCUGAUACUGGAUGGCUUGAAUUCGGGAGAGGGAUGCGGAAUUCCAGGUGUAGCGGUGAAAUGCGUAGAUAUCUGGAGGAACACCGGUGGCGAAGGCGGCAUCCUGGACCGAGAUUGACGCUGAUGCGCGAAAGCCAGGGGAGCAAACGGG
rnacentral:rRNA from 1 species